CAGGUCACUCCUACGGGAGGCAGCAGUGGGGAAUCUUGCGCAAUGGGCGAAAGCCUGACGCAGCGACGCCGCGUGCGGGAAGAAGGCCUUAGGGUUGUAAACCGCUUUCAGGAGGGACGAAGCCACUCGGGUUAACAGCCCAGAGGGUGACGGUACCUCCAGAAGAAGCCCCGGCUAACUACGUGCCAGCAGCCGCGGUAAUACGUAGGGGGCAAGCGUUGUCCGGAUUCAUUGGGCGUAAAGAGCGUGUAGGCGGCCAGGUAGGUCGGUUGUGAAAACUGGAGGCUCAACCUUCAGAGGUCGACCGAAACCAUCUGGCUAGAGUCCGGGAGAGGAGAGUGGAAUUCCUGGUGUAGCGGUGAAAUGCGCAGAUAUCAGGAAGAACACCCGUGGCGAAAGCGGCUCUCUGGAACGGUACUGACGCUGAGACGCGAAAGCGUGGGGAGCGAACAGGAUUAGAUACCCUGGUAGUCCACGCCGUAAACGAUGGGCGCUAGGUGUGGGAGGUGUCGACUCCUUCCGUGCCGCAGCUAACGCAUUAAGCGCCCCGCCUGGGGAGUACGGCCGCAAGGCUAAAACUCAAAGGAAUUGACG
rnacentral:rRNA from 1 species